rnacentral:lncRNA from 1 species
CAUAAAGGAACUUCAGAAAAUAUGAAUCUUUUCGCCAUCAGCUAUACAGCUAGCAAAUUAGAUAGGGGAUACAAUCAAGAAAAAUGAAAAUUAAGAAGAAAAAAACUUACCAUCAUUCUUGUAUUAAUCAGAUUGAACAAAAAGAUCAAAUUCAAACCUGCGAAAAUUGAGCUUCCACCAUCAAAAAGUUAAAAGAUCUGAGAAAGAAAAAGGUUGAGAAAUUGGUUGAUGAGAGGGAGAGAAACCGGAUAAAAUUUGAAUGAAAAAAUUAAAAAUAAAUAUUCUUGGAGGAGAGGAGAGGAGAGAGAUUGAUGUUAA